ACUCCUACGGGAGGCAGCAGUGGGGAAUAUUGCACAAUGGGCGCAAGCCUGAUGCAGCCAUGCCGCGUGUGUGAAGAAGGCCUUCGGGUUGUAAAGCACUUUCAGCGGGGAGGAAGGCGGUACGGUUAAUAACCGUGCCGAUUGACGUUACCCGCAGAAGAAGCACCGGCUAACUCCGUGCCAGCAGCCGCGGUAAUA
rnacentral:rRNA from 1 species